UCCUACCAUAUGGUUUAUGUUGAUUUACUCUACUCAUAAUCAUAAUUCACUCGCCACUGUCGCCGCCACUUUGAGGCUUUAGCCACCAAGCUGCAUCCUUUCCCAUGAGGCUUAAUUUAGUACAUGCUUCUCUGAAUUUCUAUGAGAUUAAUUCAGUAUAUGUUUCUCUGAAUGUUAUCCUGCCAAUCGUUAGUUGUUUGAUGAUAAGCUUGUCGAUUUCUAGUUACAUUAUAUUACUCAAGUUUGAAGGUUCUGAAGUAUGUGCUUUGAACUACUAUGUGUGUCCACUCCAUAAAGAAGAAAUGGUACUCUUUAUUUUAUUUUAUUUUAUUUUAAAUACAUGAAAAUUAUUAUUUCCAAAUGUUUACAUCAUUGCUGUAGGGCUGGACAGCUCUGAACCCCAUAUUUCAGGGUCACUAUGGUUGGUGAUAAACGAUUUUAGGAGCAUCAAAGUUUGUCCUACAAUAUCUCUAUAUGGUAUCCAGCUUAGCAAUUUUUCAUAUUUUAGAUAAAAUGGAAUUGAGCUUCAGUUAGUACUUAGAGAAUUCACUAAAAGUAGUGAUAGGAUUUAUAAUCGACUUAAAUGAGAUUUUCCGUUUUACGCUCUUCAAUUCAUAUUUCAUAUAUAUGGAGCCGCUCGCCGCGGGAGCUGCGGGUCGCCGCUCGAGCCAGAGCCGCCCGGCCCGCAACACCUCCACGGGGUUGAGAUCGUAUGGUGAUGUACUGGUGGCCCUGGAGACAUACAAGAUCGAUGAGAUAACAUGUCGUUCAUGUUUCAGUACGACAAUUCGAUUGAUCUAGGCUAUGACUAUGUUCAAUAGUCGUGAAUCUGGUAAUAUCAUAUGCAUGCAUAUGUGUUAACUGUUUUUGUUGGGUAUCUUCAAAGAUGCUCAGAACAUCCAUACAUGUGUACGAUGACUAUGCCGCAGAGGACGAUGAGCAUGAGGAGAAGCUGAAGAAGGAAACGCUUGUGUUGUUCUUCUUAGCUACUUGCAUGAGCUCUCGCCUUUUUGAUUCGUAGAAUGAUGAACUGACCACGAUGAUCUCACGCUGCUUUGAUUUGUAGAUUGCUGACUUCCCCACAUAUUAUGGUUCGUCGGUUGCUGAAUCAACCUUUUUGUUGCUUGCGCCUUAAUUCGGUAAUCCAUCUACUAGCCUUUUGUUGAACAACACAAGUGAAAUGUAUGCAACUACACAAUUUAUUUUAGAUUCGAAAGGCACUUAAGAGUUAAGACACUAGCUAUAAGCCUACCAACAAGGGGAAUGUCUAUGUGUCUGUGUGCAGUGUCCUUCUAAUCGGUGGGGGUUAUAAAGUGUAUGUGGGCACUUAAUUAAGCAUAAUCCCAUUGUGGAGAGGAGGAACCGGGUUUACCUCCAAUGAAGAGAAGCACUAUUAGCUAAUUUUGCCUCUUUAUCAAGUGGGUUAUUGUAUUGGAAGCCACCAAUGCUUAUUGUGGUGUCAUAUACCAAAAUUUCUUUGUAGUUCAUCAGUUCAGUCUAAUCUUGCAGAAAAAAAAACAAAUAAAGUGCAUAGAAAUAUUGCAUUUGAUAGAAUUUAUAUGAUGUUUCAAGGAACCGCAUGCUGCACUCUAUGUUGUCAUGUUGAAUGGAAGCAACAACGGCACCGAGGAAACAUGAGUUUAUCGUUCAAAAGAGGUCUCUGAAAUUUUAGAGGGUUGUGGUAUAUGAAUCAUUGCUGGAUAAGGAAAGGAGUGGGGGAGGAUCUGCAGGGAGUGUAUUGUAGAACUUUACUGAUGUAGGCAUUGAUUUUCAUUUGCAAGAUUCUGUAUUGUUCUUUACCCAUCUGCUCCUGGAAUUGUGUACUAAUUAUGAUUUGUUGAAGUUUCAUGCAGACAUUGUACGAUGGAUUUAUAUGGCUGCCUGACUAGGAUGUUGGUUCCUGCAUACGAGCUGAUGUUCGGGAAGCCAUCCCUCCACAGACUCUUUGAGGGCUACUUCGAUCAAGCUGGGAGGGUGAACGCAAGGGGUCAUGUUGAAGAUGCUGCAAGAUCCUCAUGUUAAUUUGAUCACAACUAUAGGAGACGCCAUGUGGGUGUAUUUUCUUCUCACA